rnacentral:ribozyme from 13 species
AAAAAGGAAGAGAAAUUCGAAAAAGAAGAAGAGAGGAACUGAUGCCCAAGAGAGAGAAGUUGAGAGGGUGGUAAUUGUUGCGGUUGUUCUUUUUCUUCUUUUUCUUUUUCUUCUUUUUCUUUUCCAGAA